GACGAACGCUGGCGGCGUGCUUAACACAUGCAAGUCGAACGGAAAGGCCCUGCUUUUGUGGGGUGCUCGAGUGGCGAACGGGUGAGUAACACGUGAGUAACCUGCCCUUGACUUUGGGAUAACUUCAGGAAACUGGGGCUAAUACCGGAUAGGAGCUCCUGCUGCAUGGUGUGGGUUGGAAAGUUUCGGCGGUUGGGGAUGGACUCGCGGCUUAUCAGCUUGUUGGUGGGGUAGUGACUUACCAAGGCUUUGACGGGUAGUCGGCCUGAGAGGGUGACCGGCCACAAUGGGACUGAGAGACGGCCCAGACGCCUACGGGACGCAGCAGGGGGAAAUAUUGCACAAUGGGCGGAAGCCUGAUACGGCAACGCCGCGUGCGGGAUGACGGCCUUCGGGGGAUAAACCGCUGUCGCCUGAGACGAAGCGUGAGUGACGGUAAUGGGUAAAGAAGCAACGGCUAACUACGUG
rnacentral:rRNA from 1 species